rnacentral:rRNA from 1 species
CCUACGGGGGGCAGCAGUGAGGAAUAUUGGUCAAUGGGCGCAAGCCUGAACCAGCCAAGUCGCGUGAGGGAAGACGGCCCUACGGGUUGUAAACCUCUUUUAUCCGGGAGUAAGCACGGACACGUGUAUCUUAGCGAGAGUACCUGAUGAAAAAGCAUCGGCUAAUUCCGUGCCAGCAGCCGCGGUAAUACGGAAGGUGCGAGCGUUAUCCGGAUUUAUUGGGUUUAAAGGGAGCGUAGGCCG